rnacentral:lncRNA from 1 species
ACACCUAAAAGGCUUUUCACCAUAAUUGCAUUAAACUCUUCCUUCUUUUUAGGUGAACUUGAACGGACACCUGAGGAUCGAGAGUGAGGCAUAUCUCUUCCUUUUUCUUUAACGUUCCUCUUGUUAGCUACAAGAACAUUUUCCUCCCCUUCUUUGAUAAGUUCACUAGCCAAUUGUUUGGCUAUUAACUCUUGAGACGACAAUAAAUUCUCAAAUUCCUCCGAGGAUGGUUGUUGAGCCCACCGCUGAAUCGAUGUCACAAAGGGAAUAUAUUUUGGUUUCAAACCAAGGAAUAAUAUUUCUUCUUAUUCGUGCUUCGGAGAUAGCCUCAUCCGGAUUUAUUAAAGAGAUCUCAGAACAUAAAUUCUUAAUUCUUAAGAAAUAAUCUAGAAAAAUUACCUUGGGUGGCGUUAGCCAAUUUAUUCUCCAAGAUAUGUAGCCGGGCUUCAUUUUUCAUGAGUUGAUUUAUACCUUAUUAUAUGGUCAAAUAAAACGGAGAAGUUGAACCUCUUCAGAAUGAACUCUGCCUUCGCAUUAAUCUGCUUUCACUUCUUGUAUGCACCACUAUUCUCCGGUCUGUCGUCCGGAGGACUUAUGUUACUUCCAUUAACAACAUCGCGCAAAUCCUCACCUACAAGGUAUGGUACAAGAUACGAUUCCAUACCUUGUAAUUAGAUUGAUUCACCUACUCCAUUCCCAGUCUAUUAAUGCGACUGCGUAAAUCCAUUCGCACAAAUUAGUUGAAUCGACCACAAACUCUAUCUUGAAAUAAAUGCGAGUCAAUCUACAACUUUGGCUCUGAUACCAUGUAGAGAAUAACAGAAGAAAGGUGUAACUGGCGAGACCUUCUGCUAGCUCAAGAUCGUUAACUAAGAUCGAAAGAUUCAACUAAAGAAGAGGAAGCUAUGAUAGGCGAGUUUCUUUUAUGGAAGAAGACUUCUUGAAUUAGAUUGUUUUUUUUUGGUUGGUUACAAAUGCCUAAGGCCAUCCCCUAUUUAUACUUGUGUAGGGAUGAUUCUAAAUACUACAAAUCUAGUGUAUUUUAUCCUCCUCCACAAAUAUCUAACACUUUAGAAUAUGUAGAUCUUUCCUAAAUACAAAUAUCAAAUAGACUAUUUUCUAGAAACCUGUACCUAGAAUUACGUAGAAUAUCUAGAUAUUUCUUCAAGAUGAUGAUCCUUGAAAUUACACAAGAUAUUCUAGAAACUUUACAAGAAAAACUAUGUUAUCCAAAAAAUCAACUUUAAAUUUUCUUCACAUUCUCCCUUAAAGUGAUUUUUUGGAAGCUAUCCCAAACUUGUUGCAGAAGAACUCAAACGAAGCUUUGAACUAUGCCUUGGUGGAAAUCCUUGUACUUUUUUCUCGACUCCUCUAACUUUUUCAAAUAAUGAAGUUUUUCUAUCAUCAGUUGGUCCUGCAAAGAUACGUGUACCAACAAAAGUUUUAUCUCUGUAACGUACUGACUUCACAAUAUUUCUUUUUGGUCUUUGUGAACCAAGUGAGUCAUCUCCUUGUCGAGUUUCCGAGCUUCCUCUUUCUCCGAACUCCUCAACAACUAUAUUCUUUGGAGAAUCAUUUCUUAUGGGCAAAUCUGAAACUCCUGGGUUCUAAUGUUUUAGAACCCUUUCCUUUAGAUAUAGCCCGAAGUACAAAGAAAUUUCAUCAGUUCAAGCUCUUCAUCAUCCAUUUCUCCAUCUAAGUCUACACGGUCAACUUCUUCAUUUGCUUGAUCUUUAGUUUCCUCAUCAACUUUCAAUAUUUGUUUUGAGCUAGUGAUUGAUCUUGAUACCAUAAAUGAUUGAUCAGAGACUUCAACUACAUCUCCCUUAAUGCUUACUCCGAUAAAGUCAUCACUAGCAUAUAGAGUUUCAGACAGCUGCUCAGAGUCUACUUCAAUAUCCUCCAUGUUUAGACUUUUAUUUCCGUUUUCAGGAAUUGCUUCUUUGAUUUCCUCGAUAGCAGAUUCACGUCUCUAGUCUGAAUGUCUUCAGUAUCAUCUUGCUUUUUAUUGGUGUCUUCCUUCUCAACAUGAUGGAUUAUAUUAUAUCCAAUCCAAUCCCUCUCCAAAUUUAUGAAAGUUAAGGCAUCUAUUGCUCGACUCUUAGCUGCUAAGCAUCUUCCCCAGCCUUCUUCUUCUUCAACAAGUUUUUUAGUUUGAGCCAUGUUGCUCUCCGUGACUCGACAAUAUCUCCUUAUGUGUCCGAUCUUGCCUCUCCGAUAACACCUAAAAGGCUUUUCACCAUAAUUGCAUUAAACUCUUCCUUCUUUUUAGGUGAACUUGAACGGACACCUGUGGAUCGAGAGUGAGGCAUAUCUCUUCCUUUAUCUUUAACGUUCCUCUUGUUAGCUACAAGAGCAUUUUCCUCCCCUUCUUUGAUAAGUUCACUAGCCAAUUGCUUGACUAUUAACUCCUGAGACGACAAUAAAUUCUCAAAUUCCUCCAAGGAUGGUUGUGGAGCCCACCCU